AAUAGAUACCCUGGUAGUCCACGCCGUAAACGAUGAGUGCUAAGUGUUAGAGGGUUUCCGCCCUUUAGUGCUGCAGCAAACGCAUUAAGCACUCCGCCUGGGGAGUACGGCCGCAAGGCUGAAACUCAAAGGAAUUGACGGGGGACCCGCACAAGCGGUGGAGCAUGUGGUUUAAUUCGAAGCAACGCGAAGAACCUUACCAGGUCUUGACAUCCUCUGACCAUCCUAGAGAUAGGACAUUCCCCCUUCGGGGGGACAGAGUGACAGGUGGUGCAUGGUUGUCGUCAGCUCGUGUCGUGAGAUGUUGGGUUAAGUCCCGCAACGAGCGCAACCCUUGUCCUUAGUUGCCAGCAUUCAGUUGGGGCACUCUAAGGAGACUGCCGGUGACAAACCGGAGGAAGGUGGGGAUGACGUCAAAUCAUCAUGCCCCUUAUGACCUGGGCUACACACGUGCUACAAUGGAUGGUACAAAGGGCUGCGAAGCCGCGAGGUGGAGCCAAUCCCAUAAAACCAUUCCCAGUUCGGAUUGCAGG
rnacentral:rRNA from 1 species